AACCAGUGCGGGUGCUAUACAUGCAAGUCGUGCGGACCUUUUAAAAGCUUGCUUUUAAAAGGUUAGCGGCGGACGGGUGAGUAACACGUGGGCAACCUGCCUGUAAGAUCGGGAUAACGCCGGGAAACCGGGGCUAAUACCGGAUAGUUUUUUCCUCCGCAUGGAGGAAAAAGGAAAGACGGCUUCGGCUGUCACUUACAGAUGGGCCCGCGGCGCAUUAGCUAGUUGGUGGGGUAACGGCUCACCAAGGCAACGAUGCGUAGCCGACCUGAGAGGGUGAUCGGCCACAUUGGGACUGAGACACGGCCCAAACUCCUACGGGAGGCAGCAGUAGGGAAUCUUCCGCAAUGGACGAAAGUCUGACGGAGCAACGCCGCGUGAGUGAAGAAGGCCUUCGGGUCGUAAAACUCUGUUGCCGGGGAAGAACAAGUGCCGUUCGAACAGGGCGGCGCCUUGACGGUACCCGGCCAGAAAGCCACGGCUAACUACGUGCCAGCAGCCGCGGUAAUACGUAGGUGGCAAGCGUUGUCCGGAAUUAUUGGGCGUAAAGCGCGCGCAGGCGGCUUCUUAAGUCUGAUGUGAAAUCUUGCGGCUCAACCGCAAGCGGUCAUUGGAAACUGGGAGGCUUGAGUGCAGAAGAGGAGAGUGGAAUUCCACGUGUAGCGGUGAAAUGCGUAGAGAUGUGGAGGAACACCAGUGGCGAAGGCGGCUCUCUGGUCUGUAACUGACGCUGAGGCGCGAAAGCGUGGGGAGCAAACAGGAUUAGAUACCCUGGUAGUCCACGCCGUAAACGAUGAGUGCUAAGUGUUAGAGGGUUUCCGCCCUUUAGUGCUGCAGCUAACGCAUUAAGCACUCCGCCUGGGGGAGUACGGCCGCAAGGCUGAAACUCAAAGGAAUUGACGGGGGGCCCGCACAAGCGGUGGAGCAUGUG
rnacentral:rRNA from 1 species